UACGGGGGGGGCAAGCGUUGUUCGGAAUUACUGGGCGUAAAGGGCGCGUAGGUGGCCUGUUAAGUCGAACGUGAAAUCCCCGGGCUCAACCCGGGAACUGCGUCCGAGACUGGCAGGCUCGAAUCCGGGAGAGGGAUGUGGAAUUCCAGGUGUAGCGGUGAAAUGCGUAGAUAUCUGGAGGAACACCGGUGGCGAAGGCGGCAUCCUGGACCGGUAUUGACGCUGAGGCGCGAAAGCCAGGGGAGCAAACGGG
rnacentral:rRNA from 1 species